rnacentral:sRNA from 1 species
AUGUACCACGCGUACAUUCCGGUUCUGCGCGCCGUCCACACUCACCUGACGACUGCUCACUCCGUUUUGUCAGUC